GACGAACGCUGGCGGCGUGCCUAAUACAUGCAAGUAGAACGCACAGUUUAUACCGUAGCUUGCUACACCAUAGACUGUGAGUUGCGAACGGGUGAGUAACGCGUAGGUAACCUGCCUGGUAGCGGGGGAUAACUAUUGGAAACGAUAGCUAAUACCGCAUAAUAUUAAUUAUUGCAUGAUAAUUAAUUGAAAGGUGCAAUUGCACCACUACCAGAUGGACCUGCGUUGUAUUAGCUAGUAGGUGAGGUAACGGCUCACCUAGGCGACGAUACAUAGCCGACCUGAGAGGGUGGUCAGCCGCACUGGGACUGAGACACGGCCCAGACUCCUACGGGAGGCAGCAGUAGGGAAUCUUCGGCAAUGGACGAAAGUCUGACCGAGCAACGCCGCGUGAGUGAAGAAGGUUGUCGGAUCGUAAAGCUCUGUUGUAAGGGAAGAACGGGCGUGAGAGUGGAAAGUUCACACUGUGACGGUAUCUUACCAGAAAGGGACGGCUAACUACGUG
rnacentral:rRNA from 1 species